CCCUUAGAUGUUCUGGGCCGCACGCGCGCUACACUGAUGCAUUCAACGAGCCUAUCCUUGACCGACAGGUCCGGGUAAUCUUUGAAUCUGCAUCGUGACGGGGAUAGAUUAUUGCAAUUAUUAAUCUUGAACGAGGAAUUCCUAGUAAACGCAGAUCAUCAAUCUGCAUUGAUUACGUCCCUGCCCUUUGUACACACCGCCCGUCGCACCUACCGAUUGAAUGGUCCGGUGAAGCCUCGGGAUUGUGGUUAGUUUCCUUCAUUGGAAGUUAGCCGCGAGAACUUGUCUAAACCUUAUCAUUUAGAGGAAGGUGAAGUCGUAACA
rnacentral:rRNA from 1 species